rnacentral:rRNA from 1 species
GUGAGGAAUAUUGCGCAAUGGAGGCAACUCUGACGCAGCCAUGCCGCGUGCAGGAAGAAGGCGCUACGCGUUGUAAACUGCUUUUAACCGGGAAGAAACCCCAGGACGUGUCCUGGGUUGACGGUACCGGAGGAAUAAGCACCGGCUAACUUCGUGCCAGCAGCCGCGGUAUUAGGAAGGUGGCAAGCGUUACCGGGAUCCAUUGGGUUUAAAGGGUGCGUAGGCGGAGCGUUAAGUCAGUGGGGAAAUCCUGCAGCUUAACUGUAGACUUGCCAUUGAUACUGGCGCUCUUGAGUGCGCUUGAAGUGGGCGGAAUGUGCCGUGUAGCGGUGAAAUGCUUAGAUAUGGCACAGAACACCAAUUGCGAAGGCAGCUCACUAAGGCGAUACUGACGCUGAGGCACGAAAGCGUGGGGAUCGAACAGGAUUAGAAACCCGAGUAGUCC